UUCUUUCUUUCUUUCUUUCUUUCUUUCUUUCUUUCUUUCUUUCUUUCCUUUCUUUCUUUUCCUUCCUUCCUUUUUUCCUGUCUGUCUUUCUGUCUUUCCUUCCUUCCUUCCUUCUUUCCUUUUUUUUUUUUCUCUUAUCAUUUCCAUUUUCCAUCAGCAUUUUUCUGUGAUUACUACUUCCAUGGAAAACAGAUAUUUUUCUAAAUUAAUCUAAGGAAAACAUAAAAUAUCAUAUGCCAUGAAGACUAUAAUUCAAGGGCUUCCAAGAGAACUCAGAAGAUCAAAUUGCCAGGACAAAGUUUUUAAGCUGGUCAUGCCGUGAAGCUUAGCUGAAAAUUUUGUAGAACGUCUAACCUGGCUGGAUCAAGAUAUUUGUAGAAUGAAGUAAGCUCAUAGUAACUCCCACUGAUGAACGUCCUGUUGAGAACAUUUCCCCAAAGCCUACAAUUUUUCUUCCUUCAAUUGCUGAAAGAAAACUCCAUAAGACUGGAACAUAUCUUUGUCUUCUUGAGGAUUUUUUCCCUGGUGUUAUCGAGAUAUAUUGGAAAGAAAAGAAUGGCAAAACAAUUCUGGAAUCUCAGCAGGGAAACACCAUGAAAACUAAGGACACAUAUAUGAAAUACACCUGGCUGACCGUGAGUGAAGAGUCAAUGGGUAAAGAACACAAAUGUGUUGUCAAACAUGAUAGUAAUAAAGGAGGGGUCGAUCAAGAGAUUCUUUUUCCUUCAAUAGACAAAGAUUUGGUGUCGGUGAUGGGAUCUGAAAUGGACUUCCAGGGGCAAUCAGAGACAAGGAGACAGCCAGGGGAGGUAACUGUGAGCCCCUUGAGUUCACUGUCCUCCUCACCAUUUUCAAGGGCGGUAGAUCUCACUGCUAUUCACUCUACAGAAGCUUCUCUGAAGGAUGAAAAUGACGCCCUGCAUCUGCAUCUAGUGAACAACUCUGCCUACUAUACCUACCUCCUGCUCCUCCUCAAGAGCAUGGUCUAUUCUGCCAUUAUCACUGUCAAUCUGCUUGGGAAACCCACACUCUUUGGUAAUGGGAAGAGUUCCUAACACAUGGUGGCACAAAAGGUCCACCUUUUUCCAUUGGCUGUUAUCCCUAAAAGCCAGUAGGCACCUUCCAGUCAUGUCCCCUGGGGCUCUUUAACAAGAUGACUUCCUUGAAGCCUUUUAAUUUACAUACCCUGAGGCCUCUAUCUUUGUUAAUGAAUUCUGUACUGUUUUUCAUAAAAAGAACAAGUAAAAUAAU